ensembl:snRNA U6 U6 spliceosomal RNA
GUACUUCAAAAGCAGAUACACUAAAAUUGUAACAUUACAGAGAAGAUUUUCAUGGUCCUUGUGUCAGGAUUACAGGUAGAUUAUGAAACAUUCUAUAUUUCU